rnacentral:tRNA from 1 species
GCCAGGGUGGCUGAGUCUGGUCAAAGCGCUGGACUUAAGCUCCAGUUGACGUUCACUCGCGGGACGUCGCGCGGGUUCAAAUCCCGUCCCUGGCG